AUUGAACGCUGGCGGCAUGCUUUACACAUGCAAGUCGAACGGUAACAGGCCGCAAGGUGCUGACGAGUGGCGAACGGGUGAGUAAUGCAUCGGAACGUGCCCAGUCGUGGGGGAUAACGCAGCGAAAGCUGCGCUAAUACCGCAUACGAUCUAUGGAUGAAAGCGGGGGACCGUAAGGCCUCGCGCGAUUGGAGCGGCCGAUGUCAGAUUAGGUAGUUGGUGGGGUAAAGGCUCACCAAGCCAACGAUCUGUAGCUGGUCUGAGAGGACGACCAGCCACACUGGGACUGGGAAACGGCCCAGACUCCGACGGGAGGCAGCAGUGGGGAAUGUUGGACAAUGGGCGCAAGCCUGAUCCAGCAAUGCCGCGUGCAGGAAGAAGGCCUUCGGGUUGUAAACUGCUUUUGUACGGAACGAAAAGGCUCUGGAUAAUACCUGGGGCUCAUGACGGUACCGUAAGAAUAAGCACCGGCUAACUACGUGCCAGCCGCCGCCGUAACAC
rnacentral:rRNA from 1 species